GGAAGGGUAUCGAAGUUGGCCGUAACGAGCUCGACUCGAAAUCGAGUUGUCCUGGUGACAGGGCACGUGGGUUCGAAUCCCACCCCUUCCG
rnacentral:tRNA from 1 species